UACAGAGGGUGCAAGCGUUGUCCGGAAUUAUUGGGCGUAAAGAGCUCGUAGGCGGUUUGUCGCGUCUGCUGUGAAAGUCCGAGGCUCAACCUCGGAUCUGCAGUGGGUACGGGCAGACUAGAGUGUGGUAGGGGAGACUGGAAUUCCUGGUGUAGCGGUGGAAUGCGCAGAUAUCAGGAGGAACACCAAUGGCGAAGGCAGGUCUCUGGGCCACAACUGACGCUGAGGAGCGAAAGCAUGGGGAGCGAACAGG
rnacentral:rRNA from 1 species